GCUGGGCGUGGUGGCGGGCGCCUGUAGUCCCAGCUACUUGGGAGGCUGAGGCAGAAGAAUCGCUUUAACCCAGGAGGCGGAGGUUGCAGUGAGCCGAGAUCACGCCACUGCACUCCAGCCUGGGUGACAGAGCAAGACUUUGUCUCAA
rnacentral:SRP_RNA from 1 species